rnacentral:rRNA from 1 species
AUACGUAGGGGGCAAGCGUUGUCCGGAUUUAUUGGGCGUAAAGGGUUCGCAGGCGGCCUUUUAAGUCAGAUGUGAAAGAUCAAGGCUUAACCUUGGUAAGCAUUUGAAACUGAAAGGCUUGAGUUAAGGAGAGGAAAGUGGAAUUCCUAGUGUAGCGGUGAAAUGCGUAGAUAUUAGGAGGAAUACCAGUGGCGAAGGCGACUUUCUGGACUUAUACUGACGCUGAGGAACGAAAGCAUGGGGAGCAAACAGGAUUAGAUACCCUGGUAGUCCAUGCCGUAAACGAUGAGUGCUAGGUGUCGGGGGUCAAACCUCGGUGCCGGAGCUAACGCAUUAAGCACUCCGCCUGGGGAGUACGUACGCAAGUAUGAA